rnacentral:rRNA from 1 species
UAGGGAAUCUUCGGCAAUGGACGGAAGUCUGACCGAGCAACGCCGCGUGAGUGAAGAAGGUUUUCGGAUCGUAAAGCUCUGUUGUAAGAGAAGAACGAGUGUGAGAGUGGAAAGUUCACACUGUGACGGUACCUUACCAGAAAGGGACGGCUAACUACGUGCCAGCAGCCGCGGUAAUACGUAGGUCCCGAGCGUUGUCCGGAUUUAUUGGGCGUAAAGCGAGCGCAGGCGGUUAGAUAAGUCUGAAGUUAAAGGCUGUGGCUUAACCAUAGUAGGCUUUGGAAACUGUUUAACUUGAGUGCAAGAGGGGAGAGUGGAAUUCCAUGUGUAGCGGUGAAAUGCGUAGAUAUAUGGAGGAACACCGGUGGCGAAAGCGGCUCUCUGGCUUGUAACUGACGCUGAGGCUCGAAAGCGUGGGGAGCAAACAGGAUUAGAUACCCUGGUAGUCCACGCUGUAAACGAUGAGUGCUAGGUGUUAGACCCUUUCCGGGGUUUAGUGCCGUAGCUAACGCAUUAAGCACUCCGCCUGGGGAGUACGACCGCAAGGUUG